AAGUGAGAAUCUUAUUGGCCGAAAACCUAAGGUUUCCUGAGGAAGGUUCGUCCGCUCAGGGUUAGUCGGGACCUAAGCCGAGGCCGAAAGGCGUAGGUGAUGGACAAUCGGUUGAUAUUCCGAUACCGCCUAUUUACGUUUGAGAAAUGGGGUGACGCAGUAGGAUAAGAUGUGCGCACUAUUGGAUGUGCGUCUAAGCACUUAGGCAUGCUUGAUAGGCAAAUCCGUCGAGCUAAGCUGAGGUGUGAUGGGGAGCCAUUUAUGGCGAAGUAUCUGAUUCCACACUGCCAAGAAAAGCCUCUAUCGAGUGAAUAGGUGCCCGUACCGCAAACCGACACAGGUAGGUGAGGAGAGAAUCCUAAGGCCAUCGGAAGAAUUGCUGUUAAGGAACUCGGCAAAUUGACCCCGUAACUUCGGGAGAAGGGGUGCCUACGAAAGUAGGCCGCAGAGAAUAGGCCCAAGCAACUGUUUAGCAAAAACACAGGUCUCUGCUAAAGCGAAAGCUGAUGUAUAGGGGCUGACGCCUGCCCGGUGCUGGAAGGUUAAGGGGAACACUUAGCGUAAGCGAAGGUGUGAACUUAAGCCCCAGUAAACGGCGGCCGUAACUAUAACGGUCCUAAGGUAGCGAAAUUCCUUGUCGGGUAAGUUCCGACCCGCACGAAUGGCGUAAUGAUUUGGGCACUGUCUCAACAGCAAAUCCGGCGAAAUUGUAGUGCAAGUGAAGAUGCUUGCUACCCGCGAUUGGACGGAAAGACCCCGUAGAGCUUUACUGUAGCUUAGCAUUGAAUCUCGGUAUUGUCUGUACAGGAUAGGUGGGAGACUUGGAAACUUGGGCGUCAGCCUGAGUGGAGUCAUCCUUGGGAUACCACCCUGACAGUACUGGGGUUCUAACCGGCGGCCAUGAAUCUGGUCACGGGACAUUGUUAGGUGGGCAGUUUGACUGGGGCGGUCGCCUCCUAAAAAGUAACGGAGGCGCCCAAAAGUUCCCUCAGCGCGGUCGGAAAUCGCGCGAAGAGUGCAAAGGCAGAAGGGAGCUUGACUGCGACACAUACAGGUGGAGCAGGGACGAAAGUCGGGCUUAGUGAUCCGGUGGUACCUCGUGGGAGGGCCAUCGCUCAACGGAUAAAAGCUACCUCGGGGAUAACAGGCUGAUCUCCCCCAAGAGUCCACAUCGACGGGGAGGUUUGGCACCUCGAUGUCGGCUCGUCGCAUCCUGGGGCUGAAGUAGGUCCCAAGGGUUGGGCUGUUCGCCCAUUAAAGCGGCACGCGAGCUGGGUUCAGAACGUCGUGAGACAGUUCGGUCCCUAUCCGUCGCGGGCGUAGGAAAUUUGAGAGGAGCUGUCCUUAGUACGAGAGGACCGGGAUGGACCAACCUCUGGUGCACCAGUUGUCACGCCAGUGGCACAGCUGGGUAGCUAUGUUGGGACUGGAUAAACGCUGAAAGCAUCUAAGCGUGAAGCCAACCUCAAGAUGAGAUUUCCCAUAGCGUAAGCUAGUAAGACUCCUGGAAGAACACCAGGUUGAUAGGUCAGAGAUGUAAGCAUGGCAACAUGUUAAGUUGACUGAUACUAAUAAGUCGAGGGCUUGACCAAAA
rnacentral:rRNA from 1 species